rnacentral:rRNA from 1 species
AGAGUUUGAUCCUGGCUCAGAACGAACGCUGGUAGCGUGGAUUAGGCAUGCAAGUCGAACGGGAUCACCUGGAUAGCAAUAUUCGGGUGUGAGAGUGGCGGAUUGGGGAGGAACACGUGAACAACCUGCCCUUGAGUUCGGGAAAACCGUUGGAAACGACGGCUAAUACCGGAUGUGGCGCCCCGUGGCAUCACGGGAGCGCUAAAGGGGGCCGCAAGGCUCCCGCUCGUGGAGGGGUUCGCGCACCAUCAGCUUGUUGGCGGGGUAACGGCCCACCAAGGCCUACGGUUAGCUGGUCUGAGAGGAUGACCAGCCCCACUGGGACUGAGAUACUGCCCAGACUCCUACGGGAGGCUGCAGUCGAGGAUCAUUUGCAAUGGGCGAAAGCCUGACAAUGCGACGCUGCGUGGAGGAUGAAGGCCUUCGGGUUGUAAACUCCUGUCAUAAGGGAACAGGCGAGGGGUGCCAAUACCACCCUGAGUUGAGUGUACUUUAAGAGGAAUUGGCGGCUAACUCUGUGCCAGCAGCCGCGGUAAUACAGAGGCCAAGAGCGUUGUUCGGAUUUACUGGGCGUAAAGGGCGCGUAGGCGGUCUUGCGUGUCAGAUGUGAAAUCUCCGGGCUCAACCCGGAAAGUGCGUCUGAAACUACAGGACUCGAGUCUGGGAGAGGGAAUCGGAAUAUAGGGUGUAGCGGUGAAAUGCGUUGAUAUCCUAUAGAACACCGGAGGCGAAGGCGGAUUCCUUGAACAGCACUGACGCUGAGGCGCGAAAGUCGGGGGAGCAAACAGGAUUAGAUACCCUGGUAGUCCCGACCUUAAACGGUG